GGGUUUUCACUUGGGGCAAGAGUUAUCUUUAAAUGUCUCCAGGUUCUGGCUGAGAGUGCGAAUACUUCUGGCCUUGUGGAGAGAGUUGUUCUUCUUGGGGCACCCAUUGCAAUUAAAAACAUGAACUGGGAAGCAGCUAGAAAGGUAGUGGCUGGUCGAUUCGUGAAUGCUUACGCUACAAACGAUUGGAUGCUAGGAAUUGCCUUCCGUGCCAGUCUCCUGACUCGAGGCUUGGCUGGAAUUCAACCGGUUGAUGUUCCUGGCAUUGAGAACGUUAAUGUAACUGAACUCAUUGAUGGCCAUUCCUCCUAUUUAUGGGCUACCCAAAAGAUUUUAGAUCUACUUGAUCUUGAUGCCUAUUAUCCGGUAGUCCUCGGUCGAGUCAAGCUAUAAAGACAGACGUGGCAACACAUUUUCUUCCUUAGAUAACUGUAUUUUAGGGGAUUGUAUCUGUUACAGGAAGCACAUAGAUAGCCAGUUCAUUAUAUAACCACUAACAGGGUUCUAGUCUGGUACUGUUACGUUUAUUCAAUAUUUUCAUCUCAACUUUAGUGAUUUUGUUUAGCCGUUUGUUUAUCGGAAAUGGUCUGUCCAUAGAUAUUCCAUCCUUUCCAGGCCUCAGUUGUGG
rnacentral:misc_RNA from 1 species